GGGUUGUGAGGUUAAGCGACUAAGCGUACACGGUGGAUGCCCUGGCAGUCAGAGGCGAUGAAGGACGUGCUAAUCUGCGAAAAGCGUCGGUAAGGUGAUAUGAACCGUUAUAGCCGGCGAUGUCCGAAUGGGGAAACCCAGUGCAAUUCGUUGCACUAUCGUUAACUGAAUACAUAGGUUAACGAGGCGAACCGGGGGAACUGAAACAUCUAAGUACCCCGAGGAAAAGAAAUCAACCGAGAUUCCCCCAGUAGCGGCGAGCGAACGGGGAGCAGCCCGGAGUCUGAAUCAGCUUGUGUGUUAGUGGAAGCGUCUGGAAAGUCGCAGGGUACAGGGUGAUACUCCCGUACACUAAAACGCACAGGUUGUGAACUCGAAGAGUAGGGCGGGACACGUGGUAUCCUGUCUGAAUAUGGGGGGACCAUCCUCCAAGGCUAAAUACUCCUGACUGACCGAUAGUGAACCAGUACCGUGAGGGAAAGGCGAAAAGAACCCCGGCGAGGGGAGUGAAAAAGAACCUGAAACCGUGUACGUACAAGCAGUAGGAGCCCACUUGUUGGGUGACUGCGUACCUUUUGUAUAAUGGGUCAGCGACUUAUAUUCUGUAGCAAGGUUAACCGUAUAGGGGAGCCGCAGGGAAACCGAGUCUUAACUGGGCGUUAAGUUGCAGGGUAUAGACCCGAAACCCGGUGAUCUAGCCAUGGGCAGGUUGAAGGUUGGGUAACACUAACUGGAGGACCGAACCGACUAAUGUUGAAAAAUUAGCGGAUGACUUGUGGCUGGGGGUGAAAGGCCAAUCAAACCGGGAGAUAGCUGGUUCUCCCCGAAAGCUAUUUAGGUAGCGCCUCGUGAACUCAUCUUCGGGGGUAGAGCACUGUUUCGGCUAGGGGGUCAUCCCGACUUACCAACCCGAUGCAAACUACGAAUACCGAAGAAUGUUAUCACGGGAGACACACGGCGGGUGCUAACGUCCGUCGUGAAGAGGGAAACAACCCAGACCGCCAGCUAAGGUCCCAAAGUCAUGGUUAAGUGGGAAACGAUGUGGGAAGGCCCAGACAGCCAGGAUGUUGGCUUAGAAGCAGCCAUCAUUUAAAGAAAGCGUAAUAGCUCACUGGUCGAGUCGGCCUGCGCGGAAGAUGUAACGGGGCUAAACCAUGCACCGAAGCUGCGGCAGCGACACUAUGUGUUGUUGGGUAGGGGAGCGUUCUGUAAGCCGUUGAAGGUGGCCUGUGAGGGUUGCUGGAGGUAUCAGAAGUGCGAAUGCUGACAUAAGUAACGAUAAUGCGGGUGAAAAACCCGCACGCCGGAAGACCAAGGGUUCCUGUCCAACGUUAAUCGGGGCAGGGUGAGUCGACCCCUAAGGCGAGGCCGAAAGGCGUAGUCGAUGGGAAACAGGUUAAUAUUCCUGUACUCGGUGUUACUGCGAAGGGGGGACGGAGAAGGCUAUGUUGGCCGGGCGACGGUUGUCCCGGUUUAAGCAUGUAGGCGGAUGUUCCAGGUAAAUCCGGAACGUUAUUAACGCUGAGGUGUGAUGACGAGGCACUACGGUGCUGAAGUGACAAAUGCCCUGCUUCCAGGAAAAGCCUCUAAGCAUCAGGUAACAUCAAAUCGUACCCCAAACCGACACAGGUGGUCAGGUAGAGAAUACCAAGGCGCUUGAGAGAACUCGGGUGAAGGAACUAGGCAAAAUGGUGCCGUAACUUCGGGAGAAGGCACGCUGAUGGUAGGUGAAGCGACUUGCUCGUGGAGCUGAAAUCAGUCGAAGAUACCAGCUGGCUGCAACUGUUUAUUAAAAACACAGCACUGUGCAAACACGAAAGUGGACGUAUACGGUGUGACGCCUGCCCGGUGCCGGAAGGUUAAUUGAUGGGGUUAUCCGUAAGGAGAAGCUCUUGAUCGAAGCCCCGGUAAACGGCGGCCGUAACUAUAACGGUCCUAAGGUAGCGAAAUUCCUUGUCGGGUAAGUUCCGACCUGCACGAAUGGCGUAAUGAUGGCCAGGCUGUCUCCACCCGAGACUCAGUGAAAUUGAACUCGCUGUGAAGAUGCAGUGUACCCGCGGCAAGACGGAAAGACCCCGUGAACCUUUACUAUAGCUUGACACUGAACACUGGUCCUUGAUGUGUAGGAUAGGUGGGAGGCUUUGAAGUGUGGACGCCAGUCUGCAUGGAGCCAUCCUUGAAAUACCACCCUUUAAUGGCUGGUGUUCUAACGUGGGCCCGUAAUCCGGGUUGCGGACAGUGUCUGGUGGGUAGUUUGACUGGGGCGGUCUCCUCCUAAAGAGUAACGGAGGAGCACGAAGGUCAGCUAAUCCUGGUCGGACAUCAGGAGGUUAGUGCAAUGGCAUAAGCUGGCUUGACUGCGAGCGUGACGGCGCGAGCAGGUGCGAAAGCAGGUCAUAGUGAUCCGGUGGUUCUGAAUGGAAGGGCCAUCGCUCAACGGAUAAAAGGUACUCCGGGGAUAACAGGCUGAUACCGCCCAAGAGUUCAUAUCGACGGCGGUGUUUGGCACCUCGAUGUCGGCUCAUCACAUCCUGGGGCUGAAGUAGGUCCCAAGGGUAUGGCUGUUCGCCAUUUAAAGUGGUACGCGAGCUGGGUUUAGAACGUCGUGAGACAGUUCGGUCCCUAUCUGCCGUGGGCGCUGGAGAAUUGAGGGGGGCUGCUCCUAGUACGAGAGGACCGGAGUGGACGCAUCACUGGUGUUCGGGUUGUCAUGCCAAUGGCAUUGCCCGGUAGCUAAAUGCGGAAGAGAUAAGUGCUGAAAGCAUCUAAGCACGAAACUUGCCCCGAGAUGAGUUCUCCCUGACUCCUUGAGAGUCCUGAAGGAACGUUGAAGACGACGACGUUGAUAGGCCGGGUGUGUAAGCGCAGCGAUGCGUUGAGCUAACCGGUACUAAUGAACCGUGAGGCUUAACCUUACAACGCCGAAG
rnacentral:rRNA from 1 species